rnacentral:rRNA from 1 species
GACGAACGCUGGCGGCGUGCUUAACACAUGUAAGUCGAACGAUGAAGCCGGAGCUUGCUCUGGUGAAUUAGUGGCGAACGGGUGAGUAACACGUGAGUAACCUGCCCUUGACUCUGGGAUAACUGCGGGAAGCUGUAGCUAAUACCGGAUACGACCCUCGGAGGCAUCUCAUGGGGGUGGAAAGAAUUUCGGUCAAGGAUGGACUCGCGGCCUAUCAGCUAGUUGGUGAGGUAAAGGCUCACCAAGGCGACGACGGGUAGCCGGCCUGAGAGGGUGACCGGCCACACUGGGACUGAGACACGGCCCAGACUCCUACGGGAGGCAGCAGUGGGGAAUAUUGCACAAUGGGCGCAAGCCUGAUGCAGCAACGCCGCGUGAGGGAUGACGGCCUUCGGGUUGUAAACCUCUUUUAGCAGGGAAGAAGCGAAAGUGACGGUACCUGCAGAAAAAGCACCGGCUAACUACGUGCCAGCCGCCGCCGUAA